UACGUAGGGAGCGAGCGUUGUCCGGAUUCAUUGGGCGUAAAGAGCUCGUAGGCGGUUCAGUAAGUCGGGUGUGAAAUCUCCGUGCUCAACACGGAGCGGCCACCUGAUACUGCUGUGACUCGAGUCCGGUAGGGGAGUGUGGAAUUCCCGGUGUAGCGGUGAAAUGCGCAGAUAUCGGGAGGAACACCAGUGGCGAAGGCGGUUGCCUGGAGCUUUGCUGACGCUGAGGCGCGAAAGCGUGGGGAGCAAACAGG
rnacentral:rRNA from 1 species